rnacentral:rRNA from 1 species
GACGAACGCUGGCGGCGUGCCUAAUACAUGCAAGUAGAACGCUGAAGAGAGGAGCUUGCUCUUCUUGGAUGAGUUGCGAACGGGUGAGUAACGCGUAGGUAACCUGCCUUGUAGCGGGGGAUAACUAUUGGAAACGAUAGCUAAUACCGCAUAACAAUGGAUGACCCAUGUCAUUUAUUUGAAAGGGGCAAAUGCUCCACUACAAGAUGGACCUGCGUUGUAUUAGCUAGUAGGUGAGGUAACGGCUCACCUAGGCGACGAUACAUAGCCGACCUGAGCGGGUGAUCGGCCACACUGGGACUGAGACACGGCCCAGACUCCUACGGGAGGCAGCAGUAGGGAAUCUUCGGCAAUAGGGGCAACCCUGACCGAGCAACGCCGCGUGAGUGAAGAAGGUUUUCGGAUCGUAAAGCUCUGUUGUAAGUCAAGAACGAGGGUGAGAGUGGAAAGUUCACACUGUGACGGUAGCUUACCAGAAAGGGACGGCUAACUACGUG